CCGUAGCUCAGUCGGUAGAGCAGAGGACUGAAAAUCCUCGUGUCGGUGGUUCGAUUCCGCCCGG
rnacentral:tRNA from 3 species